UACGAAGGGGGCUAGCGUUGCUCGGAAUGACUGGGCGUAAAGGGCGCGUAGGCGGCUCAUACAGUCAGAUGUGAAAUUCCUGGGCUUAACCUGGGGGCUGCAUUUGAUACGUGUGGGCUUGAGUGCGGCAGAGGAGACUGGAAUUCCUGGUGUAGCAGUGAAAUGCGUAGAUAUCAGGAGGAAUACCGAUGGCGAAGGCAGGUCUCUGGGCUGACACUGACGCUCAUGCACGAAAGCGUGGGGAGCAAACAGG
rnacentral:rRNA from 1 species